AAGUCGUAACAAGGUUUCCGUAGGUGAACCUGCGGAAGGAUCAUUAUUGAAUAGUUGGUGGUGCUGUGCUGGCCUUUCGGGGCAUGUGCACGCAUUGCUUAUUAUCUUUCUACUUGUGAACCAGUGUAGUCUUGUCGUUUGUUGGUGGAAGCUCAUUCAUUUGGGUGGAAGCUAAUGAAAGGCGAGUCUAUGAUUUUAUAAACCAUUGUAUGUCCUAGAAUGUCAUCUUUGUUGACCGUGAAACGUCAAUAAAACUAUACAACUUUCAGCAACGGAUCUCUUGGCUCUC
rnacentral:misc_RNA from 1 species